GUGUUGUAUGAAAGGAGAGAAGGUUCUCAUUCUCCUUGAUAUCGAUGGAAGAGGUUCUACUGGCCUUUACAACACCAUUGAAGAGAUCCUAACCAGGCUCUUGAAUGUUCU
rnacentral:ncRNA from 1 species